rnacentral:rRNA from 1 species
AUACGGAGGAUCCGAGCGUUAUCCGGAUUUAUUGGGUUUAAAGGGUGCGUAGGUGGUUUGAUAAGUCAGCGGUGAAAGUUUGCAGCUUAACUGUAAAAAUGCCGUUGAAACUGUCGGACUUGAGUGUAAAUGAGGUAGGCGGAAUGCGUGGUGUAGCGGUGAAAUGCAUAGAUAUCACGCAGAACUCCGAUUGCGAAGGCAGCUACUAAGCUACAACUGACACUGAAGCACGAAAGCGUGGGGAUCAAACAGGAUUAGAUACCCUGGUAGUCCACGCAGUAAACGAUGAUUACUAGCUGUUUGCGAUACACAGUAAGCGGCACAGCGAAAGCGUUAAGUAAUCCACCUGGGGAGUACGCCGGCAACGGUGAAACUCAAAUGAAUUGACGGGG